rnacentral:rRNA from 1 species
GGCGACCGGCGCACGGGUGAGUAACACGUAUCCAACCUGCCGUCUACUCUUGGACAGCCUUCUGAAAGGAAGAUUAAUACAAGAUGGCAUCAUGAGUCCGCAUGUUCACAUGAUUAAAGGUAUUCCGGUAGACGAUGGGGAUGCGUUCCAUUAGAUAGUAGGCGGGGUAACGGCCCACCUAGUCUUCGAUGGAUAGGGGUUCUGAGAGGAAGGUCCCCCACAUUGGAACUGAGACACGGUCCAAACUCCUACGGGAGGCAGCAGUGAGGAAUAUUGGUCAAUGGGCGAGAGCCUGAACCAGCCAAGUAGCGUGAAGGAUGACUGCCCUAUGGGUUGUAAACUUCUUUUAUAAAGGAAUAAAGUCGGGUAUGCAUACCCGUUUGCAUGUACUUUAUGAAUAAGGAUCGGCUAACUCCGUGCCAGCAGCCGCGGUAAUACGGAGGAUCCGAGCGUUAUCCGGAUUUAUUGGGUUUAAAGGGAGCGUAGAUGGAUGUUUAAGUCAGUUGUGAAAGUUUGCGGCUCAACCGUAAAAUUGCAGUUGAUACUGGAUAUCUUGAGUGCAGUUGAGGCAGGCGGAAUUCGUGGUGUAGCGGUGAAAUGCUUAGAUAUCACGAAGAACUCCGAUUGCGAAGGCAGCCUGCUAAGCUGCAACUGACAUUGAGGCUCGAAAGUGUGGGUAUCAAACAGGAUUAGAUACCCUGGUAGUCCCACCACGGUAAACGA